UUUCCAUUUGAAACCAUGCUUUCUCUAUCUUUCUCAAUUUCCAGAGGAUUGGGAGUUUCACAAAAGGGAAUUGAUUCCAAUGUGGAUGGCUGAAGGGUUUAUAUUACAAUCGUCAAUGGGAGAAGGAGAAGACACAAUGGAAGAUAAGGGUGACGAAUAUUUGGAAGAGCUUAUAAGUAGGUGUAUGGUUCAAGUAAGCCAAAGAGAUCACACUGGAAUA
rnacentral:misc_RNA from 1 species